UGGGGAAUAUUGGGCAAUGGAGGAAACUCUGACCCAGCGACGCCGCGUGCGGGAUGAAGGCCUUCGGGUUGUAAACCGCUUUCAGUAGGGAAGAAGCGAAAGUGACGGUACCUACAAAAGAAGCACCGGCUAACUAUGUGCCAGCAGCCGCGGUAAUACAUAGGGUGCAAGCGUUAAUCGGAAUUACUGGGCGUAAAGGGUUCGUAGGCGGUGAUAUAAGUUAAGUGUGAAAGACCUGGGCUUAACCUGGGGCAGUCACUUAAGACUAUAUAGCUAGAGUGUGUCAGAGGGGGGUAGAAUUCCACGUGUAGCAGUGAAAUGCGUAGAUAUGUGGAGGAAUACCAAUGGCGAAGGCAGCCCCCUGGGAUAACACUGACGCUCAUGCACGAAAGCGUGGGGAGCAAACAGG
rnacentral:rRNA from 1 species